rnacentral:rRNA from 1 species
UACGUAGGGUGCAAGCGUUAAUCGGAAUUACUGGGCGUAAAGCGUGCGCAGGCGGCUUUGCAAGACAGAUGUGAAAUCCCCGGGCUCAACCUGGGAACUGCAUUUGUGACUGCAUGGCUAGAGUACGGUAGAGGGGGAUGGAAUUCCGCGUGUAGCGGUGUAAUGCGUAGAUAUGCGGAGGAUCCCCGAUGGCGAAGGCAGUCCCCUGGCCCUGUUCUGACGCUCAUGCUCGAAAGCGUGGGGAGCAUCCAGG